GUACGGAUUGUGUCUUGGUAAUAAUCGUCUGUUCUCUCCUGCCACUCAGGUUGUAGUUGGAGUGACGGUAGCAGCAGCUCAGGGAGAACCAACUGGCUCGUUCUCAAGAAUCUCACAACUCAGGUAAAAACACACACACACUCACACACUCUGGCCUACUAUCUACCAGUGUUGUAGGACUUGACUCUGACUUGACCAGUGGGAACUUAGUCAGAAAAUCUCUCUUUUGUAUAAUUCAACAUAUUAGCUACAACAGCAAAUGUGCAACAGUGUCAUGAAAUGGGGAAAACAUGGUUGGCUGCUUUUAGGAGGACUACCAAGGGUCUAGUGACUGGUUGGAGGACUACCAAGGGUCUAGUGACUGGUUGGCUGCUUUUAGGAGGACUACCAAGGGACUAGUGACUGGUUGGAGGACUACCAAGGGACUAGUGACUGGUUGGAGGACUACCAAGGGUCUAGUGACUGGUUGGCUGCUUUUAGGAGGACUACCAAGGGACUAGUGACUGGUUGGCUGCUUUUAGGAGGACUACCAAGGGUCUAGUGACUGGUUGGAGGACUACCAAGGGACUAGUGACUGGUUGGAGGACUACCAAGGGACUAGUGACUGGUUGGAGGACUACCAAG
ensembl:lncRNA